rnacentral:rRNA from 1 species
UACGGAGGGUGCAAGCGUUAUCCGGAUUCACUGGGUUUAAAGGGUGCGUAGGCGGGCAGGUAAGUCCGUGGUGAAAUCUCUGAGCUUAACUCAGAAACUGCCAUGGAUACUAUUUGUCUUGAAUAUUGUGGAGGUGAGCGGAAUAUGUCAUGUAGCGGUGAAAUGCUUAGAUAUGACAUAGAACACCCAUUGCGAAGGCAGCUCACUACACAAUUAUUGACGCUGAGGCACGAAAGCGUGGGGAUCAAACAGG